AUUGAACGCCGGCGGCAGGCCUAACACAUGCAAGUCGAGCGGAUGAGGAAAGCUUGCUUUUCGAUUCAGCGGCGGACGGGUGAGUAAUGCCUAGGAAUCUGCCUGUUAGUGGGGGAUAACUCGGGGAAACUCGGGCUAAUACCGCAUACGUCCUACGGGAGAAAGUGGGGGAUCUUCGGACCUCACGCUAACAGAUGAGCCUAGGUCGGAUUAGCUAGUAGGUGAGGUAAUGGCUCACCUAGGCGACGAUCCGUAACUGGUCUGAGAGGAUGAUCAGUCACACUGGAACUGAGACACGGUCCGGACUCCUACGGGAUGCAGCAGUGGGGAAUAUUGGACAAUGGGCGAAAGCUUGAUCCAGCCAUGCCGCGUGUGUGAAGAAGGUCUUCGGAUUGUAAAGCACUUUAAGUUGGGAGGAAGGGUAUUCACCUAAUACGUGGGUACUUUGACGUUACCAACAGAAUAAGCACCGGCUAACUCUGUGCCAGCCGCCGCUGUAAUAC
rnacentral:rRNA from 1 species